GUGCUCGCUUAGGCGCACAAUAUACUAAAAUUAGAACCACACAGAGAGGAUUGGCAUGGUGCCUGUGAAGCAGUCCAUGUUUUUAUAUAAUUUUAGAAAAUGUAA
ensembl:snRNA U6 U6 spliceosomal RNA